rnacentral:rRNA from 1 species
UACGUAGGGCGCAAGCGUUAUCCGGAAUUAUUGGGCGUAAAGAGCUCGUAGGCGGUUUGUCGCGUCUGCCGUGAAAGUCCGGGGCUCAACUCCGGAUCUGCGGUGGGUACGGGCAGGCUAGAGUUCGGUAGGGGAGACUGGAAUUCCCGGUGUAGUGGUGGAAUGCGUAGAUAUCGGGAGGAACACCAGUGGCGAAGGCGGUUGCCUGGAGCUUUGCU